GAUGAACGCUGGCGGUAUGCUUAACACAUGCAAGUCGAACGGACUCUUCGGAGUUAGUGGCGGACGGGUGAGUAACGCGUGAGAAUCUGGCUUUGGGUUCGGGACAACCACUGGAAACGGUGGCUAAUACCGGAUGUGCCGAGAGGUAAAAGAGAAAUUGCCUGAAGAUGAGCUCGCGUCUGAUUAGCUAGUUGGUGAGGUAAAGGCUCACCAAGGCAGCGAUCAGUAGCUGGUCUGAGAGGAUGACCAGCCACACUGGGACUGAGACACGGCCCAGACUCCUACGGGAGGCAGCAGUGGGGAAUUGUCCGCAAUGGGCGAAAGCCUGACGGAGCAAUACCGCGUGAGGGAAGAAGGCUCUUGGGGUGUAAACCUCUUGUCUUAGGGAAGAACAAAAUGACGGUACCUAAGGAAUCAGCAUCGGCUAACUCCGUG
rnacentral:rRNA from 1 species